UUCAGAGGGAGCUGCCUUAAUUUCCCCUCUAUCACCAUCUGCAGCUUGGGUGGUUAUAGCUAAAAUUUUAUUAUAUUCACCUAUUCCUAUGGAGGCUUUAAGAAUCUGGUCUAAGUCAACCCAACAUGGUCUAUACACAACAGUAGCUUGUUUAAUCUUCUUUUCAAAUUCAGCUGGACUUUUCCUGAUAUCUGUUGAUGGACAUAUCAAGUCAAGAUGAGAUGGUUUCCAAUGACUCGAGUGAAUACCAACCCAAAGAAAGUUCAGAGGAUGAUGAUUCUAAUAAUAAUGAAGAUUCAGAUUCCAAAAAAUCAAUUAAUAAAAGAGCACCUCGCUUUACCACCACAGAGAAUGAGUCCUUAAUAGAUGGAGUUAUUAGCUAUUACAAAAUUUUAUUUGGCAAGCUUGGUGGUUCAAAUUCUACAUUUGAGAGAAAAGAGCAGAUCUGGAAAAGAAUUGCUAGAAUGGUUUCCUCGGUUGGCAAAGUUCCCCGUUCUGCAAAUAAAGACAGAAAUCGGAACCGUAAACAAUACUACUGGGGAUUGUGAUGAAUCUGAAAAUUCUAUUCAAAUGAUUGCAGAUACUCUCAAGAUUCCUGAUACCUCUGAUUCUGAGAAAGAAUACAAUGCUAUUGCCCAUAGGUCCUCAAAAGACCAACAUCCAAACACAAAUAUCCCUGAACCUACCAAAUUUCUUUAAAAAAAAUUAUUGAAGUCGGAAGUAAAUAAGCCUAGUGCAAUACCCACAUCAGAUGAAAUUCAAUAUCUGAUCCAUGCAGCGUUGGAAGUGAAUAAAAAAUGUUGUCAGCACUGAAUUUAGCAGUCUCCAAAAGGAAUUGCAGAAUCUACAAUCUCUGAUUUCGAAAAUAGGGAAAAGGAUCACAGAUUUCCAAGAAUGCUUGCUAAAAUGUCUUGAAAACAUUUUCAGAAAAUCUGAGUAUGAAAGAAAUGAUUUUACAAGAAGAUGUACAGAUGCAUGAGAUAAAUAAAAUUCAAAAAGAGGUUCUACAAAGUGAUGGUGAUCCGGAUGAUUUUACAGGUUCAACAAAUGGAAGACAUGAAGAGCAAACAUCAAAGACGCUUGAAAAUGAGGAAUCACAGCAACAAGCCAGCCCUAGACGCUUGUUUAAGAAGCCUAGAAAAUUUUUGGAUGAGGAGGAUGACUGAGAAAAAGAUACUUAUUGAACUGUCAAGCUGUUCAGAAUUUAAAAAUCUGUAGCAGGGCUUGAUUGGAUUUAAAAAGUUGUCUUCACAUUGUUAUGGUUCUCUAAGGUUCACAAAUCAUUACAACAUAUUGUUGCCAAACUGAUUUAAAAUUUUGUUUGUUUAAUUCUAAAUUGUUUUUAGAAAUUACAGAUUUUGCAUUGAGUGAUAUUAAAAAUUAGUUGAAACGGAUUUAAAAAUCAGAUAGUGUGAGACCGUUAUUGUGAGUAAAUGUCAAACUGUCUAGAUAUUUCAACUCAUUGUAUCAACAAAUUGUGUUCUUCAGUAUGACAGAACCGUUUCAUAUUUUAGGGAAAAAAGUUAUUUUGAAAAAAUAACCCAAAUACUAUUUUUUUUCAAU